GACGGAGGGUGCUAGCGUUGUUCGGAAUUACUGGGCGUAAAGGGCGCGUAGGCGGCCGUUUGCGUCGGAUGUGAAAGCCCGGGGCUCAACACCGGGAGGCGGGUGGAUACUGCUCAGCUCGAGUCCGGAAGAGGAGUGUGGAAUUCCUGGUGUAGCGGUGAAAUGCGCAGAUAUCAGGAGGAACACCAAUGGCGAAGGCAGCACUCUGGGACGGUACUGACGCUGAGACGCGAAAGCGUGGGGAGCAAACAGG
rnacentral:rRNA from 1 species